rnacentral:misc_RNA from 1 species
GAUGAAGAACGUAGCGAAAUGCGAUAAGUAAUGUGAAUUGCAGAAUUCAGUGAAUCAUCGAAUCUCUGAACGCACAUUGCGCCCGCUAGUAUUCUGGCGGGCAUGCCUGUCCGAGCGUCAUUUCAACCCUCAAGCCCCCGGGCUUGGUGUUGGGGAUCGGCGAGCCUCCGCGCCCGCCGUCCCCUAAAUCUAGUGGCGGUCUCGCUGUAGCUUCCUCUGCGUAGUAGCACACCUCGCACUGGGAAACAGCGCGGCCACGCCGUUAAACCCCCAACUUCUGAACGUUUGACCUCGGAUCAGGUAGGAAUACCCGCUGAACUUAAGCAUAUCAUAAGCGGAGGA